AACGAACGCUGGCGGCAGGCUUAACACAUGCAAGUCGAACGCACCUUUCGGGGUGAGUGGCAGACGGGUGAGUAACGCGUGGGAAUCUACCCUUCUCUACGGGAUAGCUCCGGGAAACUGGUAUUAAUACCGUAUACGUCCUGAGGGAGAAAGAUUUAUCGGGGAAGGAUGAGCCCGCGUUGGAUUAGCUAGUUGGUGGGGUAAAGGCCUACCAAGGCGACGAUCCAUAGCUGGUCUAAGAGGAUGAUCAGCCACAUUGGGACUGAGACACGGCCCAAACUCCUACGGGAGGCAGCAGUGGGGAAUAUUGGACAAUGGGCGCAAGCCUGAUCCAGCCAUGCCGCGUGAGUGAUGAAGGCCCUAGGGUUGUAAAGCUCUUUCAGUGGGGACGAUAAUGACGGUACCCACAGAAGAAGCCCCGGCUAACUUCGUG
rnacentral:rRNA from 1 species